CCCACGAAACAGUGUAAACACGCGGUACUGUGAUGUCAUACUGGUUAACGCUAAGCCACGUGAAGCCGGACACAAGGGCUACACUAAUCUUUGGGCUGGAGUAGCCUGUGGUUUUUAAGGCUUCGUGUCUCAUCGCGUUAAACGAUCGCAGAACGAUUUAUUUCUCUUUUUCACCUCGAUCUUUGGCCUCGUGUGAUUUACCAAAACCAACAUGUGAAGUUACAACGCUGACGAAGGAGUUUCAUCAGUAGAGUGUGUCCUGGUAAACGUGUGCUCGGAAACAUGCAGAUUACAGUAUUUACAGAGCCGACCUUGAGGCACCCACUGAUGGAUAAUCCGUUUACCUAAAACAGCCCACCACAAUCCAUGUUUACCAGCUGUGAAAGUGCAGGCCAAAAAUCUUCCUUCACCUGUGGGCCUCUACCCACAUGUAGAUAAGCACUUCAGGAGAAACCUGCCUGUGAUCUGCUAAGAUGCAAAGAUUCAACUCUGGCCCAUUGUCAUCCCAACACCUCAUCUGCCAUCAGUUUCGUUUAGUGUCGGUCUAUUGCAAAAGUUCUUAUAAACUUUAAAUGAGACUUUGUGUUAAGCAGGGGUUUCCAAACUUCAUUCCACAACAUAUUAAGCCCAGGAUACACAGCAGGAUUUUUGCAAUCCAAUAAGACCUUAUCACACUGUGUGACAAGGAUUGUUUAAACUUCAGCAGUAGACUGUCGAUGAAGACACCUAUUGCAUCUGAGGCUGCGACAUCCGUCAUCAGCAUGCGCUAGUGGUAAACAAAUACAGGUAUGCAGGUCAUAGAAACAAACACAUUGUUGAUGUGCGUUGAUCAUGCUGAACUUCUUACACUGUCAUAAAACUAUCGUAGGUGUCUUUGGUCCAAGGACUGGGAAAACAGACGUCUUUAAACCUCUCACACUGUAUGAGAUAGGACCACCAAUUAAGAGCCACGAUCACAGAAACAGGGUACCCCCAGGAUUGUCAAACCUAAAUUCAAGGCUUUUUAAGACCUUUUUAAUACCACUUCAAAUGAAAUUUAAUACCUGCAUCGCAUUCAGUCGGGUAGAAUAAAUAAUUUUAAAUAACGUAAUAUACCCCAAACGGCCUAACCCUUAUCUUUACCCAACAAUCA